AUACAACGAACAAAAGCACCACCCAGGCAAGAAGGGGUUUGGCACGAGUUUGCCCAGCCUGGGUGGCCUGAAUAUUUUGGGCCAAAACGUAAAGAUGGUGAGACCAGCAGGAUCAGUGAGGGAAGAGCACCAUCUCUUCUACUAGCAGCAGAAUCAGAGUUCUCUCAGCAGCCGUUAUCCCAAACGCUGAGUGGUUCUUCUAAUGACACUCAUCUUUCUGCGAGCAAUUGCUCCAGGAUUAAAGACAGAAUCUGGUCUCCAGGCUUUUAUGGCAAAUUGACAGCUCCACGGAAAGCUACAAAACUGCACACUUCCCGCAUGGAUGGAGUAAUCCCUGCUGAACACAAAGGAAACUCGGUCCCAAGUAAAUAUGCAUAGGAUAGGCCAGCCCUUUGAAUAUGUAUGUAUAUUUUAUAUUACUGACCUACUUGUCAGGUUUUAAUAAACAACAAAGGCAUGAAGAUAAUGCAGCAUCUCUAUGCGGUUCUCAUUUGCUCUUUCUUCAGGCCUCUGGCUCCCCCCCCCUCUCUCUUUUAUAAAUUGGGAAUGAUUAUCUCAGUUUAAGUACAUCUAGCAGAUCAAUGAGAGAACCGCUGUUUAAAUUGCUAGUUGAAAUAGUAAAGAACCCUUACUGAAGAUAACUGGCACACACAAUCUGUUGUAAUUUAAGUAAGGAGAGAAGAUUAAAACACAUGCUUAAUAAUAUCACUGAAAUUAUCUAAUCUUAAAAGUGCUUGAUUGUGUCUUUGGUAUUAGGCUGACUAAUAAUUUGAUAUGAAUACUGAGUGGUUUACACUCCAGUCCAAUACUUCUCUAGUGACAGGUAACUGUGAAUAGGAUUUACAAGGCUGAAAGAUAUGAUUUUAAUGUUUUAACAUUGUAAACUUCUGGUCUGUGAACAUAAUAAAUAAUUCCAUUCAUAACAAGGCUGAGAAUAAACAAAUUAUAUACCAAUGAUGUAUCUACAUAGAUACUUCAGCAGCAAUAGUGUUAUGGUUGAGCCUUCGGGCUCCGGUAAUAGAAGAAGAUUUAAUCCGGAUUAUACUUCUGUUUAACCCGGUUUAUCCCUUUGAAUCGUUUAAGUUCAAACUGAGUUGUUUUUUGUUACUUAUCACACUGAAGUCAAGUGUUUGCCCUGUCCUUUGUCUCUUACGGGCGUUUUUAGUUCUGUAACCUCAAUAAACUGAGUUUUGUUUUACUCGCUGGCGUUCUGUCUAUGACAAAUAGUCUUAAAAAUCAUGAUAUUGCAAGGUUCAGUUUAACAACCUAUUACUUUUAGCUUCUAUCUGCAACAGAUAAAAAUUAACAUACAGAAGAAUGAAUGUGACAAUGAUGGACAGGUCACAUUUUCCCUCAGAGAAGAAGUUAAUUUUAAACUGCUUCAGUGGCAUCUCUCUUUCUGAUAAGGUCGUUUGAACUUAAUGAAUAACUGAAUGAUAUUUCGACUGACAGAUAUCCUGCUAAGAGGAAACAUUUCCCACAUCCCGGCAAGCCAGCCAAGAAAGGUUAGAUUGCUAUUUCCCUUCUGGAUACAAUGCAAGAUGACAUGCAUUCUCUUACAGGCAGCGUGCAAAAACACAAUAGACUCUUAAAUCGUGUACAAAAAUAACUGGAUGUAGAUAUUUAGGAAGCAUAGUGAAUUUAAUAUACUUUGGCUUUAGUGUUAUCCAUUGAAGAGCAAUACUUUCCUGGAUUUAAAUUAGAACAUAAGUAGCCUAAUCAAAUUGGAAUUAUGCAUUCUAAAUGUUAAAAAAGGGAUAAAAAUAUAUCUUUAUCAUAGUAUACAAGGUACCUUUCUUAUUUUUGAAUUAGCUACAACAGUUCCCAUUUCCAUACUACAUCUGCACCAGUCCAUUUUCCUCAACAGAAGUUGAAACAGAAGUCAUCUGACAGAGUUCCUAUCUCCACCCAUAUCCAGCCAGUGCAUUUAACAACUGGCUCAUGUUACUGUGCCCGCAAUAUAUUGCACAACCAUAAUUUAUUCACAUGCCUCCACUUAUUUGACUUGCCAGUGUGUCAGCCCUUGGUUAAUGGUUAGGCUGCUGUCGCACUAUGUUAUGAUUUUAUAUAUUUUAUGCAUUAAUUUUAUUGUCAUUGAAUUGUAUUUGAUGUUGUUGUAUUAUAUUGUAUAUUACUGGGCUUGGUCCCAUGUAAGUAGUCCCGGGUCCCCUUGGGGAAAUGGGGUGGAAUAGAAGAAUAAAGUUAUUAUUAUUACAGUAGAGUCUCACUUAUCCAACACUUGCUUAUCCAACAUUCUGGAUUAUCCAACGCAUUUUUGUAGUCAAUGUUUUCAAUACAUCGUGAUAUUUUAGUGCUAAAUUCGUAAAUACAGUAAUUACUACAUAGCAUUACUGCGUAUUGAACUACUUUUUCUGUCCAAUUUGUUGUUAAACAUGAUGUUUUGGUGCUUAAUUUGUAAAAUCAUAACCUAAUUUGAUGUGUAAUAGGCUUUUCCUUAAUCCCUCCUUAUUAUCCAACAUAUUCACUUAUCCAAUGUUCUGCCGGCCUGUUUAUGUUGGAUAAGUGAGACUCUACUGUACUAUUAUUAUUAUUAUUAUUAUUAUUAUUAUUAUUGUUAUUAUUAUUAUUAUUAUUAUUAUUAUUGGAAAUUAUAUCUUUUAAUUAAUUGUGCCAUUUUAGAAUAUGCUAUACUCAAUAUCAUAAGUUUUUGGUUAGAGCUUCAUAUCUGAGAACUGAUACUUGAAAACUGAACAAUCAAAAAUUGUAUAUCAAGGCCAGCUAACCCCGCAACAAAGGAUUCCCCCAGGCAGGAAUCAGCCAGGCUUUGAAGCUACAAGGCUAUUCAAUGCUAAUCAAAGUGGUUAAUUGCAACAUUCACAUUUGCUUUAAACAGAGAAGAGUUCUUUCUCCAACCCUGGACAUUAUUCCACUGAUAUACUAACUCCAAUUGCCUAGUUUCCAACAGACCUUACAACCUCUGAGGAUGCCUGCCAUAGUUGUGGGCGAAAUGUCAGGAGAGAAUGCUUCUGGAACAUAGCCAUACAGCCUGGAAAACUCACAGCAACCCGAAAGUUGUAUAUUUUCUAAGCUUAAAAUACAAUCCCACCAUGUAAUACUUUCCCUCUUAAAGUCUUGACAAAAAGACCUAACAUUCACAACUGCAUGCAGCUGAUAUCAUUGAACUAACAUUUUCCCAAAUUAAGAGAAGAAUCCUAUCCAU
ensembl:lncRNA